rnacentral:rRNA from 1 species
UGAAACACGGACCAAGAAGUCUAGCAUAUACGCGAGUCAUUGGGUGAAAAACCUAAAGGCGUAAUGAAAGUAAAGGCGGCUCGAUCCGCUGAUAUGGGAUCCGUGCAUGAGAGUGUGCGGCGCACCAUAGCCCCGUCCCGAAGGCUUGCCUUGGGGCGGAGGUUGAGCGCAUAUGCUGGGACCCGAAAGAUGGUGAACUAUGCCUGAGCAGGAUGAAGCCAGAGGAAACUCUGGUGGAAGUCCGAAGCGGUUCUGACGUGCAAAUCGAUCGUCUGACUUGGGUAUAGGGGCGAAAGACUAAUCGAACCAUCUAGUAGCUGGUUCCUUCCGAAGUUUCCCCCAGGAUAGCUGGAGCUCGUAAAUGCAGUUAUAUUCGGUAAAGCGAAUGAUUAGAGGAAUUGGGGACGAAACGACCUCAACCUAUUCUCAAACUUUCAAUGGGUAUGAAGUCGCGGUUGCUUAAUUGAACCGUGAUAGCGAAUGUGAGCUCCAAGUGGGCCAUUU